GUAACAUGAUACUUGAGGGCUAUGGAUCUUAAUUUUUAGGUAUAUCAAUGGAAAUUACUAAAUCAUGUUGCGCGAGAUCAUGGAAUGACAUUAAAACCAGCACAUCUAUCUUAUAAAUGUACAGUUUGCACUGCCACGUUUGGAAUGUAUAAGCAGUUUGAAAAUCACGUAUAUUCGGCGCAUAGUGUCGUAGCUAAAAGAGUAAUGGACAAGAAGAAUACACCUUCAUCUCCAUCGUCCAGAUCCAAUGACUCCCUUCUUAAACCAUUGAAGAUCAAUGAUGAAAUUACGAUUAUUCCACAACCAGCAAAACCUACAACCAGGUCGGGUACAUCUCAAGGCAGAGGAAAAUAGCAAUGAUCAGCAGAGUGAUACAUGUGUCUUGUCUUAAUGAAUUUCACGUAAUUUUGUGGUACUCCAUACUGGUCAUUGUAGUAUACAAUGACUGACGUGCCGUGUACAUGUGUAUGCAUAUUAUGCUUAAGACGCAAUUACAACCUACAACUAAACCUACAACUCUUGGCAAAAAAACUAGUUGAUUGCGUAAUAAUAUUCCAUCAAUGAUUAUACCGAUAUAUUUAUUUAAGAAUUUUUAUUGUUGUUAUCAGACAUAGAUAAAAUAGACUGUAAAAAUAUUAAAGGGUGGCCUUCAGUCUAAUUCCUUGGUUAAUCCUAGAGCUGCAUAUUCCUGACCUACACGCCUAUAAAAACCUAUAAAUAUGAAGAAUAUUUACAUUUUAUGCGACACUCACAUGUCAUACUGCGAAUCACUUUUGAAUAGUAAAUUGACUAAUAAUAUAAAUUCUUUUUCUAAGACAAAUAUAUUUGAAUUAAUUCUAUUUUGUUAUUAAUGCUAAUACGAUUACGUAGGGCAAUAAACGAUAAACUGUCCUUACUCCAUAUAUUCGAUGUGUCUACGCGUCAUGUUGCGAAGCAAUUUCUGAAUAAUAUACAAACAAAUUGUAUUAAUCAACGGGAGUGCCCUAGAUAAUUUCGCAAUGUUUUUUGGUGGAUAACAAGUACCAAUAGUUUUUCUAACUUUUCUUUCUAUCAAAUGUAUACUUCUUUUUUUAAUUUCGCCAUCAUACUUUUAAGCGACGAAUAUGGAAUUUAUAAUUCUCUGCUUAAUUUGUAAUAUUUCAUAAAGUUGUGUGUAUGAAGUAAGUUAUAAAAUCAAAAAUUUUUUGAAGUUGUAAAUUGUAUCUACUUCUAUAAGUUGAAAUUUUUCGUCGCAGACAUUGUAAUAAAAUAUUAAGUUUUAUUUUUGCGCUCUUAUAUAAACAAAAAUGUACAUUAACAUAGAAUAUAAUAUAAACGAUUAUAUCAAUAAAAUAGGAUGGCACGCAUAUGUGUAUACAUUUUUUCUGUUGAAACAAUCAAUUUGUCAUGGAACACCGAACUUGUUAGUAUGAACAUCACGACAUUUAAACAUAUAUAUUUAUAUAUGUAUAUAUAUAAUAUCUAGAAAAAUAUUAUAUAUAUAAAUAUGUAAAAUUAUUCUAGUAUAGUAAUAGCGAUAUAAGAAGGGACAAUUAAUUAUCUUCUUGUAAGCACUAUGGAUUUAUAAUAGACUUAUAUGAAUAUGUAGAUAGUCGAAAGAAGUAACAGAUUUAAUUUAAUAAUUUCGAUUUUUCCUUAAUAAGUUUUGUACGUUAUCGUAGGAAAUAAUUUUAGAGGAAAAAUUUGCAUUCAACAAAGAAAAUAACAUAGUGCAUUUUUACAUUGUAUGGUUGUAUUAUUUAAUUCUACUACCAUUUGCCAGCCACUUUUAUGGCAAAAUAUGUUGGUAAAACAGAAAAACAUUCAUAGUCGUAAUUACAAAAAUAUAUACUUUACUGUAAUAAUUUGUACAAUAUUAUAUGAUUAUAAAAAUAAAGUAUACCAACAUUGUAUUA